CCUUUUUCAUUAUCCAUGAAUGUUGACUCUGAUAAGGGGAUCCUGACCAUGAGAGCAUCUCUCUGUCUCGGUCUCCGGCGCUCUUUGCAGUCCUUUGUUUUAUCUCAGGUGAAUUGUAAUCAUGUGAUCAAACGAACACCCCCCUUCCAUUACCCUCUUAAAUGAAAAAAUGAGGAACAAAAAGCAGUUCUGUGUAUAUAAAAAAAGAAAAGAAAAGAGAAAAGACGCGCGUCUCCCUUUGGAGAGUCUUUUCUCCGUGUGGCUUCAAACGUACACAUAUAGAGGAAAAGCGCGGCGCCGUGUCUCCGUCUCUCGGCGGUACAGAUGUGCGGGGAUCACGCGGAUCUGAGGCCUGCUGCACGCUUUGAUCAGAUGUGCUCCUGCGGUUGAGGAAGACUCCGAAGGGCGAUGAGGAAGAGUGUGAGGCUGUAAAGACUGACUGACUUUCCAAUCAUGUGUUUUUCUGGGAACAUUGAAUUACAGCGGUGGGGGGCGGAGAUGAACGAAUGAAAGGAGUCGUUGUUACUGACGGGAUGGACAGAUGAAAGAGAGAGAAAGAGAGAGAGAUGAAAGACAGAGAGGAUGAGAAAUCACUGUGACAAACACACACACACACACACAUGAUGUGAGAGAUUCAUAACACACUCGUUCAUCACUGUAAAGUGUGUUGUUUUGGGUCCAGUGCACUUGUAGUGAACUUCAAAUUAAAAGUAGUUUUUUUUAUUUUACUUUAAAGUGCUUUAAAUCAAUAUGUUUUAAUUUCAUUUCAUGCUUUAAUGAUUAUUUUGAUGUUGAUUAACCUACUAAAGUACAUGUAAACAUCAUUUAACUCUAAUGUGUUAUUUGAUAUUACAUUAAAAAUGUACUAAAUUGCAACUUCAUCAUAAGAUAUGUUUAAUUACAAAUAUAUUUAAAUGACAAGUUUCAACAUAUAUUACGGAUAAUAUAUUUUAUUAUAUAUUAUAUUUUUGUGUGUCACUUUGGAUAAAACCAUCUGAGAAAUGCACAAAUGUAAAUAGAAAAGACAUUGAAGUAUUUUAGUUUAUCAAGAGUUUGUCAGUACAUUCAGCAGUACUUUAAUCAUAAUUCAAAGAAAAUAGGAGUAAUUAUGAAAUUAUAAAUAAUAUACUUUAAUAGAAUGUACUUAAGUGUGUUUUCAGACACUUAAUUACAUGUAAUUUGAAAUGAAAAUACAUUAUAGUUUGAAUUUAUAUUAAACUCAG
ensembl:lncRNA